rnacentral:rRNA from 1 species
ACAUAUCAUAACGAAGAGGUAUCGUAAUUGAAGAGGUUUGGAAAGACCCACCACAGAAGGUAAUAGUCCUGUAUGUUAAACGAGAAGACUUUAGAUAUGAUCCAGAGUACCACGGGACACGUGAAACCCUGUGGGAAGCAGGAGGGACCACCCUCCAAGGCUAAAUACUACCUAGUGACCGAUAGCGUAUAGUACCGGGAGGGAAAGGUGAAAAGAACCCCGGGAGGGGAGUGAAAUAGAACCUGAAACCCUGCACU